GCGUACUUAAUGAUUAAGCAAUUCCUUUUUCAUAAAGAGUUUCAUUCUUAUUAAGUAUUAUGUUGUGUUUGCAUAUUGUUCGGGAAACCGAACGCAAGUAACUUAGUUACUUAUUUAACUUCCUGUAUAUUUUUAAACCUAAUUUUGGGUUCGUAAUGCACCGCUCUUUGUGAGCGGUGUUUUUUUAU
rnacentral:other from 2 species